UUAAGCAUAUCAAUAAGCGGAGGAAAAGAAACCAACAGGGAUUGCCCUAGUAACGGCGAGUGAAGCGGCAACAGCUCAAAUUUGAAAUCUGGCCCCCGGGUCCGAGUUGUAAUUUGUAGAGGAUGCUUUUGGUGAGGUACCUUCCGAGUUCCCUGGAACGGGACGCCAUAGAGGGUGAGAGCCCCGUCUGGUCGGAUACCGAUCCUCUGUAAAGCUCCUUCGACGAGUCGAGUAGUUUGGGAAUGCUGCUCUAAAUGGGAGGUAUAUGUCUUCUAAAGCUAAAUAUAGGCCAGAGACCGAUAGCGCACAAGUAGAGUGAUCGAAAGAUGAAAAGCACUUUGAAAAGAGGGUUAAACAGUACGUGAAAUUGUUGAAAGGGAAGCGCUUGUGACCAGACUUGGGCCCGGUUAAUCAUCCAGCGUUCUCGCUGGUGCACUUGGCCGGCCCAGGCCAGCAUCAGUUCGGCGUGGGGGAUAAAGGCGGCGGGAAUGUGGCUCCUCCGGGAGUGUUAUAGCCCACCGUGUAAUACCCUGUGCUGGACUGAGGUUCGCGCAUUCGCAAGGAUGCUGGCGUAAUGGUCAUUAGCGACCCGUCUUGAAACACGGACCAAGGAGUCGUCCUCGUAUGCGAGUGUUCGGGUGUUAAACCCCUACGCGUAAUGAAAGUGAACGCAGGUGAGAGCUUCGGCGCAUCAUCGACCGAUCCUGAUGUUCUCGGAUGGAUUUGAGUAAGAGCAUACGGGGCCGGACCCGAAAGAAGGUGAACUAUGCCUGUAUAGGGUGAAGCCAGAGGAAACUCUGGUGGAGGCUCGCAGCGGUUCUCACGUGCAAAUCCCUCGUCAAAUA
rnacentral:rRNA from 1 species